rnacentral:rRNA from 1 species
GACGAACGCUGGCGGCGUGCUUAACACAUGCAAGUCGAACGGAAAGGCCCUGCUUUUGUGGGGUGCUCGAGUGGCGAAAGGGUGAGUAACACGUGAGUAACCUGCCCUUGACUUUGGGAUAACUUCAGGAAACUGGGGCUAAUACCGGAUAGGAGCUCCUGCUGCAUGGGGGGGGUUGGAAAGUUUCGGCGGUUGGGGAUGGACUCGCGGCUUAUCAGCUUGUUGGUGGGGUAGUGGCUUACCAAGGCUUUGACGGGUAGCCGGCCUGCGAGGGUGACCGGCCACAUUGGGACUGAGAUACGGCCCAGACUCCUACGGGAGGCAGCAGUGGGGAAUAUUGCACAAUGGGCGGAAGCCUGAUGCAGCAACGCCGCGUGCGGGAUGACGGCCUUCGGGUUGUAAACCGCUUUCGCCUGUGACGAAGCGUGAGUGACGGUAAUGGGUAAAGAAGCACCGGCUAACUACGUG